rnacentral:tRNA from 1 species
AGAGGAGUGUAGGUUGCGUAAAAAGAUUUCUAAUCUUAUUUAUGAGCAGUUCAAUUCUGUUUUUUCCUUUA